AUCAAUGAUUUUAAUGUUUUGAAAACAUUAUUCAGGUUAUGAGGCCUUUGAUUUU
rnacentral:tRNA from 1 species